CACCACUCAGAGUUGAAGCUGCCAGCAUGAUCUAAACCUUCCUGCUUUUCAAUUGAUCAUAGAGGAAGGAUCAGAUCAUGUGGUAGCUUCACCUCUUGUUGGU
rnacentral:miRNA from 1 species